rnacentral:rRNA from 1 species
AGAGUUUGAUUAUGGCUCAGGACGAACGCUGGCGGCGUGCCUAAUACAUGCAAGUCGAACGGAGUUAGAGACUUCGGUUUCUAACUUAGUGGCGAACGGGUGAGUAACGCGUGAGCAACCUGACUCAAAGAGGGGGACAACAGCUGGAAACGGCUGCUAAUACCGCAUAAGACCACAGCGCGGCAUCGCAAAGGGGUCAAAGAAAUUCGCUUUGAGAGGGGCUCGCAUCCCAUUAGAUAGUUGGUGAGGUAACGGCCCACCAAGUCCGCGAUGGGUAGCCGAGCUGAGAGGCUGAUCGGCCACACUGGAACUGAGACACGGUCCAGACUCCUACGGGAGGCAGCAGUAGGGAAUAUUGGGCAAUGGGCGCAAGCCUGAACCCCAGCAACGCCGCGUGAGGGAAGAAGGUUUUCGGAUUGUAAACCUCUGUCCUAUGUGACGAAGGAAGUGACGGUAGCAUAGGAGGAAGCCCCGGCUAACUACGUGCCAGCAGCAGC